GCCCAGAUGGCGGAAUAGGUAGACGCGCAGGACUUAAAAUCCUGUGUCCAGAAAUGGACGUGCCGGUUCGAUCCCGGCUCCGGGUACAA
rnacentral:tRNA from 7 species